UGGACGCUGGAGUAAUAGGCCUACUGGUGGCAAAGGUUUCACAUCCUCUUUGUUCGUUGGCAAUAACGUUGGCUAGCUAGGUUUACUUUCUACCGUCUCAUGCGGCGCUCACUAGCAAAGGUAGCUAAGAUACUGAUUGGCACAUGGGCCAUAAUGGAUUCACCCAUCCCUCUCUCCUCCCUGCGCCUUUUGGUUCCACCUCUACGGCUGAUGUCUGCAUUUAUGUGGCAGGUAGCACAACAGAGGGCCAUCAAGCACUAUGGAAAAUUAGAGGAGUUUGUGACCGUGGUAACACAAACUGUCCCAGAACUUAUGACUGACAGACAAAGGACCCUCCUUAUUUUGGGUCUGAGAGCAAGGGUAAACCCUGUCAGCCUCCGGACCCUCCUUUAUAGAAUAAAGUCGUCUCAACAUGCACAGUCCAAUGAUGCAGGCAUGGAGUCACCUGAAGCUAACUUUGCCAAGCUCACCCAAAGCUUGCUUAUAGACCCGGUUGAGCGUGAACACUUCGUCCAAGUGGUGUUUCCUGAAGAAUUCAGACCUGAUUUUGACCAAGUGCUUCAGGAACUGGUCUGUGACUUUCUCACUCGGCUGGAAGAGCUGCUUACACUACCAGACUUUAAGCAGACUGCAUUGUUGCUGAGUGCUGGCUCCUCUGGCCUGGAUGAAUGCCUGCAGUCUUUCUCUCACUCAGAAGAUCUCCAGUUUCUGCUCCAGAAUUACAAACAAUGCAGAACAUUGUACACAAACAUUUCCUCCUCUGACAUUCCUCAGGAAUCAGAUAUUGAAUCCGAUGCCUUCCCUGACCAGUUAAACCGUACCAAUCUGGACACUGUUGUGGGGAUGAGGACUGGGAUACAAAGCAGAGACUGCCAAAGGAUGGAGUUGGCAUCACAUUUAGUGGAAAUGGGGAGCACAAGAGAUAUUAUAGGCUGCGAUGAAACCUGUGAUGAAGGGAAUGAAGAUGACAUUGAUGUAGAGGACGACCCAAAACAGAAAAGGGCUGGUUCUGGUCUUUCUCCUACCAGUGUCAUGCAAGGUGGUGAUACAGGGGCACUCAGCACUGUGCUCUCUCUGUGUUACAUGUGACCAACCUGCACAAUCACAUGCUAUCGCAACACCAUCAGGUUGUAUAUUCUGUUUUCUGGGUUAUAGGCUGAUCACAACUAGCAUUGCAAAGGGUCAGAAAUGUUCCUGAAAUUUUUAAUGGGAAGUUAAGCCUGGAAUUUGGGGAAUUUUGCUUAAAUUUGUCAAUGUUGGCUCAUAAAAGUUAACCUUUUUUUGUGGGAUACACAUAAGGCAAUUAUAGGUCUUGUGGCAUAUUUUGGUUAAACUAUCCCCAAUUCAAUAGAAUUGCAACCCUCUGCAUGCACAGUGCAAUCUUCAAUCACAUGUACAGCUGAUUCUCAAGGUCUUGCACACUAAUGAGAUGCUAUUGAACCCACACUACAACACUGUCUGAGCCAAGGACUACAUGCUUUCUGGAAAAUGUCACUGUCUGAUGUGUGGAGACAUUUCACUGCAGCUAAUGUAGAAGGAAAAGCUGUGUACAUUUGCAAAUACUAUGCCAAAUCAUAUGUGAAGAAUGCAACAAAGAUGUAGAAUAAUCUGUCCCAAGUGCAUAAAGUUCCCUCAACACUCACUACAAGCAACCUCUGACAAAAGUCCCUCUACUUCUAUUUGAGGUGAAAAUGAUGAAUCAGACACCUUAUCAAUAGCAACAGCUCAUGGGCCUCCUGGAUUCAAGUUUUUUUUGACUCAAUGGAGGAGCUGUGUAUGCAACUGGUUCACCUCUGAUGCUCACAGGCCAUGUGUAUUGGAAGAGAUUUCUGAAUAUUCUUUGCCCAGUAAACACCCGUCCAACCAGACAUGCUUUAUCUACUCAUUUGCUGGAUGCAGAGUUCAAGUGAAGGUCAAGCAAAUCAUAGAGAAAGCAGACUGUAUUGCAAUCAUCUCAGAUGGGUGAUCAAAUGUUUGUGGGCAAGGAAUAAUUAACUACAUAAUCUCCACCCCUCAACCAGUAUUCUACAAGAGCACAGACACUAGGGACAACACACACCGGUCUCUACAUUGCAGAUGAGCUGAAGGCAGUCAUCACUGACCUUGGACCACAAAGUAUUUGCACUGGUGACAGACAAUGCUGCGAACAUGAAGGCUGUUUGGUCUAAAGUGGAGGAAUCCUACCCUCACAUCACACCCAUUGGCUGUGCUGCUCAUGCAUUGAAUCUGCUCCUCAAGGACAUCAUGGCACUGAAAACAAUGGAUACACUCUACCAGAGAGCCAAGGAAAUGGUUAGGUAUGUGAAGGGUCAUCAAGUUAUAACAGCAAUCUACCUCACCAAGCAAAAUGAGAAGAAUAAGAGCACCACAUUGUAGCUGCCCAGCAACACCCGUUGGGGUGGUGUUGUCAUCAUGUUUGACAGUCUCCUGGAUGGGAAGGAGUCUCCAAGAAAUAGCCAUAUCACAGUCUGCCGAUAUGGACAGCCCCAUCAAGAGGAUCCUCCUGGAUGAUGUAGUUUGGGAGAGAGUGGUAAGCAGCCUGAAAUGCCUGAAACCUAUAGCAGUAGCCAUGGCACGGAUUAAGGGAGACAAUGCCAUCCUGUCUGAUGUUCAGACUCUGCUUGCAGAUGCAAGAGAAGACAUCCGUACUGCCCAGCCUACUUCACUGUUGCUCCAAGCAGAGGAAACUGCAGGUCUGAAAUGCAUCUAAAAGCGUGAAGACUUCUGCCUGAAGCCCAUACACGCCACAGCUUACAUGUUGAACCCGAAGUAUGCUGGCAAGAGCAUCCUGUCUGGUGCAGAGAUCAACAAGGCCUAUGGUGUCAUCACUACCAUGUCUCGCCACCUUGGCCUGGAUGAGGGCAAGGUUUUUGGCAGUCUGGCAAAGUAUACUUCCAAGCAAGGGCUUUGGGAUGGAGAUGCAAUAUGGCAGUCGUGCCAACAUAUCUCAUCAGCCACCUGGUGGAAAGGACUUUGUGUUUCUGAGGCUCUUUCCCCUGUUGCCUCCAUCAUCCUCCAAAUCCCACCAACAUCAGCCGGCCUCAGCACAAGUGGUCCUUGUUUGGGAACACACACCAAAUCACACAACAGGCUGACCAAUACAAGGGUUGAAAAAUUUGUGGCCAUCUGGGCAAAUUUGUUUUGGCUUUUUGAGCCUAAUAAACGAGCCAUCUAGGUUGGAAAGUGACAGUGAAGAUGAGGCGUGAGUCUGAUUGAGGAGGAAGCCUGAGAGGAAGACAACCAAAUAUUUAGUUUCUAGACUAUAAUUUUACAGAUGUAUGUUGAAAACAUUUUUGGGAGAUGUGAUGGAUCAUUGGGGAUCAUUCAAUAUUCCCUUUCUUUUGAUGUUCGGUGAAAUCAUCCCAUGUGAAGAGUCAACUCAUUUAAUUAAAGUUCAAUUGGUAACUAAA